ACGGAGGUGGCAAGCGUUGCUCGGAAUCACUGGGCGUAAAGGGCGCGUAGGCGGGGAGGUAAGUCGGGUGUGAAAUCCCUCGGCCCAACCGAGGAACUGCGCCCGAGACUGCUUCUCUUGAGUCCCGGAGAGGAAGAUGGAAUUCCCGGUGUAGCGGUGAAAUGUGUAGAGAUCGGGAGGAACAUCAGUGGCGAAGGCGGCCUUCUGGUCCAGUACUGACACUCAAGUGCGAAAGCGUGGGGAGCAAACAGGA
rnacentral:rRNA from 1 species